AUUGAACGCUGGCGGAAUGCUUUACACAUGCAAGUCGAACGGCAGCACGGGGCAACCUGGUGGCGAGUGGCGAACGGGUGAGUAAUACAUCGGAACGUGCCCAAUCGUGGGGGAUAACGUAGCGAAAGUUACGCUAAUACCGCAUACGAUCUACGGAUGAAAGGGGGGGAUCGCAAGACCUCUCGCUAUUGGAGCGGCCGAUGUCAGAUUAGGUAGUUGGUGGGGUAAAGGCCCACCAAGCCUUCGAUCUGUAGCUGGUCUGAGAGGACGACCAGCCACACUGGGACUGAGACACGGCCCAGACUCCUACGGGAGGCAGCAGUGGGGAAUUUUGGACAAUGGGCGCAAGCCUGAUCCAGCCAUGCUGCGUGCGGGAAGAAGGCCUUCGGGUUGUAAACCGCUUUUGUCGGGGAAGAAACGCUCUGGGCUAAUACCACGGGGUAAUGACGGUACCUGAAGAAUAAGCACCGGCUAACUACGUGCCAGCCGCCGCCGUAACAC
rnacentral:rRNA from 1 species